UUAGUUUGACCAAUGUUCUGUGUAUGCAUUCCAGGCACUUCCAACCAUUAAAAAGGAAAUUAUUGAAGUAUUGGAUAUACUGCUAAGGUGGUUUGUUUUACAAUUUUGUAAAUCGAACACAACAUGCCUGUUAAAGGUGUUGGAAUUUCUUCCAGAACUUUUUGAUACAUUUAGGGAUGAGGCAUACAUGUUGACUGAAUCAGAAUCAGCUAUAUUUUUUCCAUGCUUGAUAGAGAAGGUUUCUAUUUUAAUUGCCAGACUUUGGCAGCAAAUAUUUUUCUCUUGUAAUGUGUUUACUUUACCUAUGUGCAGGCCGGUUGCUGUAAGCCAUCAGAUGAUUGUGGAUUUACUUACGAAAGCCCCAUCUCCUGGACCAGCAACGUUACUACCGUUUCCUCCAACCCUGACUGCAGUGCGUGGCAGAAUGAUGAGAAGGUUCUGUGCUUCAACUGUCAGUCGUGCAAGGCUGGACUGCUGGACAACAUAAAAAGUAAUUGGAA